GUCUUGUUCCCAGGGAGUUGGGCUCCUUCCUUCUCCAGACUUUUGUAAACAUGGGCACUGGUACAUUUAGUACAAGAGCAGCACCUUCUCUCUAGAUCAGGGGAGAAAACAAUCUCCACUCUCUUAUUGGUCCUCGCUGCUCAGCUGCACAGAGUUGAAGCCCCAGGUGGACAUGUGGCCUCCCAGCGGUGGCUUCCUGAACAGCACAUACAGGGACCUGCUCCUCCCAGAUGACCCUUCCCCAGGACCCCAUCCUGUCCUCCACCUGCCCAGGAACGGACAGGGAAAUCAGAUGUGAGAGACUAGAAGUAACAGAUAAAGUCCAUCACGCAUCAAAUAUCUGCAGAAACUACUGUAGGUUGACAAGAUCAAGACAAAACAGAUCGAAUUCCCAGGGUGUGUUUCAGCUGUUGGGAAGCAACAUGGAGGGUCAGAUGAUCAUGAAGGCAGGAGCUGUGUUUUAUUUUCCAUGAAUUCUCUGUGCCGCCCAGUCAAUGUUUGCUGCAUUAAAUCCAGGCACACUUGGUAUAGAAAAUGCAACCUUGUGCCUAUGUUAG
rnacentral:lncRNA from 1 species